rnacentral:rRNA from 1 species
ACGUAGGUGGCAAGCGUUGUCCGGAAUUAUUGGGCGUAAAGCGCGCGCAGGCGGUCCUUUAAGUCUGAUGUGAAAGCCCACGGCUCAACCGUGGAGGGUCAUUGGAAACUGGGGGACUUGAGUGCAGAAGAGGAAAGUGGAAUUCCACGUGUAGCGGUGAAAUGCGUAGAGAUGUGGAGGAACACCAGUGGCGAAGGCGGGUCUCUGGGCAUCUCCUGACGCUGAGGCGCGAAAGCGUGGGGAGCAAACGGGA